GAUGAAGAACGUAGCGAAAUGCGAUACGUAAUGUGAAUUGCAAAUUCAGUGAAUCAUCGAGUCUUUGAACGCACAUUGCGCCCCCUGGUAUUCCGGGGGGCAUGCCUGUCCGAGCGUCAUUGCUGCCCUCAAGCACGGCUUGUGUGUUGGGCCCCGUCCUCCGAUCCCGGGGGACGGGCCCGAAAGGCAGCGGCGGCACCGCGUCCGGUCCUCGAGCGUAUGGGGCUUUGUCACCCGCUCCGUAGGCCCGGCCGGCGCUUGCCGAUCAACCCAAAUUUUUAUCCAGGUUGACCUCGGAUCAGGUAGGGAUACCCGCUGAACUUAAGCAUAUCAAUAAGCGGAGGA
rnacentral:misc_RNA from 1 species